UUAACUAUUAUAUAGUACUUAGGCAAUAUGAACAAACAGAGUUUUAGGUCCUCUGGCAGGCACUAACCAGCCGAAGCUGGUGGUCCGAGGACGGGCCGCCAAAGCAACAAAGGUAUAAUAAACAAAGGGUGGGAGGUAUACCCCGAAGGGCAACGUCUCUUUAAUGAUCCGUCCGCAGGUUCACCUACGGAAA
rnacentral:misc_RNA from 1 species